rnacentral:rRNA from 1 species
UACGUAGGUGGCAAGCGUUGUCCGGAUUUACUGGGCGUAAAGGGCGUGCAGGCGGUUUGUUAAGUCUAGGGUGAAAGCUCCCGGCUCAACUGGGAGAGGUCCUUGGAUACUGGCAGACUUGAGGAGAGUAGAGGAGAGUGGAAUUCCCGGUGUAGUGGUGAUAUGCGUAGAUAUCGGGAGGAACACCGGUGGCGAAGGCGGCGACCUGGACCGACACUGACGCUAAUACACGAAAGCGUGGGGAGCAAACAGG